GGGGACUUAAGAAGAAGGGAUCAGACCGUUGAGUGGAUAAGGGAAGAGCGUGCCAGGCUGGAACAGGCUGUAAAGAGGCAAAGCGUGUGAGCCUUACCAUCCAAUCAUCCGGAAAGCAACCUUGACUCUACAUGCUUCAAUAGUGCCCAUUUCGCCUCUUGUAAACCCUAAUGCUUUCCAUAUAAAUAUGUAACCUCACUCAUUAAUAAAAUCAAUCAGUUCGAGUCUCUCUAAUCUCUUAGACUAUGGUUUUCUCUUAGACACUAAACGGCUCUUUCUAGUCUCUUAAUCUUUCACAAACUUCUCUUAAUCACUUCCUAAACACUCUCUUUAUUCUAAUCACUCUAAAGAUCUCUUAAUCUCAUAUGGUAUCAGAGCCAGGUUCAUUUGAAUCUGGGGUUUGAUCUUUAGAGAGUUACAAGCUAAACGUCUUGGAAGCUACACGCGAGUAGUCUUGAAGGUGUUGAAGCUGUGGUUCGUUCUAGUUGAAGCUGUGCUACGUUCUGUGGGUUUGCGUGAUUCUAGACUCAAGGUUGGUGUGUACGAGAUCCAAGAUUCAAGUUUUCAAGUCAAGCAAAGAUGGAACAAGGGAUGAACAUGAGGAUGAAGGUAGCGGUUACUUUCAAAGGUAGCAACUACCUUGUGUGGUCUCGGAUGGUGAAGACUGCGGUGGGAAGUAAGGGUUUGUGGGGGCACAUCACAACAGGGGAGGCUCCGAAACUCAUUACUCAGGGAGGAGAUCAAGAAGAGGUCUCCAAUGAAGCGGCUGUGGAGAAAUGGCAACAAGAAGACAUGCUGGUGAUGACGGUUCUACACGCAUCCUUGGACCCAGCUAUCUUGGAUGCCUACAGCUACUGUGAAUCAGCCAAGGAGCUGUGGGACACGCUGAAGAAGGUGUAUGGGAACAUUUCCAACCUCAGCCGUGUGUUUGAAGUGAAGCUAGCGAUCAACCGUCUUGCACAAGAGGACAUGGAGUUCACUAAGCACUUGGGGAGGUUCAGGUCCUUAUGGUCAGAGCUGGAGAUGCUGAGGCCGAGCACAACUGAUCUAGAUCAGUUGAAUGAGAGGCGCGAGCAAGACAAGGUCUUUGGUCUGCUUCUCACACUGAACCCGGCCUACACCCAGCUCAUCCAGCACAUGUUAAGGUCAGACAAGCUUCUGGACCUUGAGGAGGUGUGUGCACAAAUCCAAAGGGAGCAGGGAUCUAUGGGUUUGUUUGGAGGAAAGGGGGAGCUCUCUCUUGCCAAUCAAGCAGCUCAUGAGGAUUCAACCGAGGCUCCACAAGCAAACAAGGCAUCUCACGGGAAGUACGAGGACAGGAAGUUCAAUGGCAACUGUGAUCAUUGCAAGAAGCAUGGUCAUAAGAAGAGCCAAUGCUGGAUACUGCACCCACACCUCAAGCCGGCCAAGUUCAUGAAGGAGCGUGAGGGAAGGGCAAAUGUGACUGAAGGUUCAAGUGGAGCUGGCACCAGCAAGAUCAGUGAAGGGAUGGGCUUGGAGGCAAUGAUGGGAAUGGGAAGUCUCUGGUGGCUUACACAGGCGCCUCAAGCUCCCGCAGCAAUGAUGACUACAUCAAGAGAUCAGAUCUUGAUGCCCUCUUCAAAAUGCUAAAGGAAAACGGUAACACUUACGGUUAUUCCUUUGGAGCUUCUAUGAUUACAUAUAAGGAUGAUCUCUUGAUUAGAGAACUAGUAGAACGGUUAGAAGCUAGGAAUGGGUAUAGACAUGCUCACAUUGCUAGAACUGAUAAGAUGCAUCCAUCACUUAGUAAUCUAUGCCAUAAUGCUAAACGAGUAAGUAAACCAUUGAUUGUUGAUUCUGGUGCAUCACAUCAUAUGAUAAGUGAUGAAAACUUGAUUAAGGAUAUAGAACCUACACAUGGGCAUGUGAUGAUAGCAAAUGGGGAUAAGAUACCCAUUAGAGGAAUAGGAAAGCUUAAGCUGUUUAACAAAGAAUCUAGAGCUUUUUACAUGCCUGAAUUCACAUCAAACCUAUUAUCAGUGAAGAAAUGUACUAAUGAUUUACAAUGCAAUGUUAUCUUUAGUCCUAAUGAUGUGAAGUUUCAGGAUAUUGAGAGCAGCAGAUUGAUUGGGAAAGGGGUGACUAAGGGAGAUCUCUAUAUGCUUGAAGAACUCACUUCUGUUCCUGAUUAUAGUUGCUCGUUUACUUCUGCUUCUUUGUUGAAUAAAAAUGCAUUGUGGCAUGCUAGAGUAGGACACCCUCAUGUUAAAGCUUUGAACUUAAUGGUACCAGGUGUUGUGUUUGAGAACAAAGAUUGUGAAGCUUGUAUUUUAGGCAAGCAUUGUAGAACUGUGUUUCAAAAGUCUACUACCGUUUAUGAUAAUUGCUUUGAUCUAAUUCACUCAGAUGUGUGGACGGCCCCUUGCUUAUCUAGAGAUAGUUAUAAGUAUUUUGUCACAUUCAUUGAUGAAAAAUCCAAAUACACCUGGUUAACCUUAAUUCAAACCAAAGAUAGGGUACUUGAUGCAUUUAGGAACUUUCAAACUUAUGUAACUAACCAUUAUCAUGCUAAGAUUAAAAUUUUGAGAUCAGAUAAUGGAGGGGAGUACACGAGUCAUGCAUUCAAGCAACACCUAUCACAACAUGGGAUCCUACAUCAAACAAGCUGUCCUUAUACUCCACAGCAAAAUGGAGUGGCUGAGAGGAAGAAUAGGCAUCUCAUGGAAGUGGCAAGGUCACUUAUGUUUCAGAGUAAUGUUCCAAAGAGAUUUUGGAGUGAUGCGGUUGCCACUGCUUGUUACCUGAUAAACAGAACCCCAACCAAAGUUCUGAAUGAGAAGGCUCCAUUUGAAGUUCUGAACAGGUACAAGCCAGCUCUUGAUUAUUUGCGAGUCUUUGGAUGCCUAUGCUUUGUACUCAAACCAGGAGAGAUGAUCAACAAGCUAGAAGCAAGAAGCACUAAGGCUGUGUUCAUAGGAUACUCAGCUACACAGAAAGGAUACAAAUGCUAUGAUCCUAUAGCAAGGAGAGUUCUUGUAUCUAGAGAUGUGAAGUUCUUGGAAGAUAGAGGAUACUAUGAAGAAAAGAAUCAAGAAGACCUGAAGGACUUAACAUCAGACAAGGCCACCACCUUGCGGAUCAUUCUUGAAGGUCUUGGAAUCAGUACAUCCCAGGAUCCAAGGAAUCACGCAACUACACCUCCUGAAGUUGGUUCACCAUCCCACCUUGAUCAUGAGGGAGGAGAGGAGCAUGAGGAGCCUAUGCAAGAGGCCAACCAAGAUGAAGGAGGAGUAGAGAAUGAAGGAGAAGAGAGCAUAGGCUCGGAUGGUCAUGGACAUGAUCAUGGUGUGACACAAACACCUUCUCAAGAUGAAGUGGUAGAAGAACAACAGGAAGAAGAACCGGUUGUGCAGCCACUAAGAAGGAGUACAAGGAUAAGGAAGGAUCCUUCCAGUUGGGUAAACACGAGAGUGUACUACAAUGCCCAAGCUGUGGAGCAUCCUUCUCAAGCCGUGUGCUCCUUUGCUCAAUAUCCAGAAGCACAUUGCGCUUUCAUGGUAAACUUGGAUGAGAAUCACAUCCCAAGAAGCUAUGAAGAAGCAAUGAAAGAUAAAGAAUGGAAGGAAUCAGUUGGAGAUGAGGCAGGAGCAAUGAUCAAGAAUGAUACAUGGUAUGAGAGUGAGUUACCAAAAGGGAAGAAGGCUGUGACUAGUAGAUGGAUAUUCACAAUCAAGUACAAAGCGGAUGGAAAGGUUGAGAGGAAGAAGUCAAGGCUAGUUGCAAGAGGUUUCACUCAAACUUAUGGAGAAGAUUACAUAGAAACCUUUGCACCAGUAGCUAAACUCCACACAAUCCGGAUUGUACUGAGCUUAGCUGUGAAUCUUGGAUGGGGGUUAUGGCAAAUGGAUGUGAAGAAUGCGUUUCUACAAGGUGAACUUGAGGAUGAAGUGUAUAUGCAUCCACCUCCAGGCCUUGAACACUUAGUGAAGAGUGGAAAUGUGUUGAGACUGAAGAAAGCCAUCUAUGGGCUGAAGCAAUCACCAAGAGCUUGGUACAACAAGUUGAGCACUACUCUGAAUGGCCGAGGCUUCAAGAAGUCUGAACUAGAUCACACCCUCUUCACACUCACGACUCCCUCAGGUAUGAUUGCACUUCUUGUGUAUGUUGAUGAUAUCAUUAUCACAGGGAGUGAUAAGGAAGGUAUCAUAGCAACCAAGGAGUUUCUUAAAUCCAUGUUUGAGAUUAAAGACUUGGGAGAAAUGAAAUACUUUCUUGGAAUUGAGAUAUGUAGAUCCAAGGAAGGUUUGUUCAUGUCCCAAAGGAAGUAUACACUUGAUCUUUUGAAAGGUGCAGGUGCUUAUGGAGGCAAGACAGCAAGGAUGCCUAUGGAGGAUGGCUACAAAGUCCCACGAGAGGGGGAGAUUGAAGACAGCAAACCUUAUCAGGAUCCUAAACUCUAUAGAAAACUAGUUGGCAAAUUGAUUUAUCUCACUAUAACUAGACCUGACAUUUGUUUUGCUGUGAAUCAGGUGAGUCAACACAUGCAAGUACCUAAGGAACAUCAUUGGCGCAUGGUGGAGAGGAUCUUGAUGUAUCUCAACGGCUCACCUGAUCAAGGAGUAUGGAUGGGCUGCAAUGGAAGCACUGAAGUGGUGGGAUACUGUGAUGCGGAUUGGGCUGGUGAUAGAGCAGACAGGAGAUCAACCACAGGCUAUUGCACAUUCAUUGGAGGCAACUUGGUGACUUGGAAGAGUAAGAAGCAGAAGGUGGUGUCUUGCUCAAGUGCAGAAGCUGAGUAUAGAGCUAUGCUGAAGCUCACCAACGAGUUAGUAUGGAUCAAAGGCAUCUUGAAGCAUUUGGAGAUUGAUCAAGCCACGCCAAUGACCAUGCAUUGUGACAACCAAGCAGCUAUCCACAUUGCCUCCAACUCGGUGUUCCAUGAGAGAACCAAGCACAUUGAAGUUGAUUGCCACAAGGUGAGGCAGAUGAUCAUCUUAGGAGUCAUCUUGCCAUGCUACACAAGAAGUGAAGAUCAGUUAGCGGAUGUGUUCACCAAGGCUGCAAGACAGAAGACAAUGGAGUCCAUUCACAUACGGUUGGGCCUCAUUGAUCUUGGGAAGAGAAGGAGCUGAUCCCCUUGGCUGUGAGGUCUUUACUCUUUUUCCCUUAUCAAGGUUUUAUCCCAAUGGGUUUUCCUUGGUAAGGUUUUUAAUGAGGAAGAUCUCAUUGCUAUCCAAGCUUAGGCUUUCACAAAGCUAAGCUUGAGGGGGAGUGUUGAGUUGAGUUGAUCAUAUUGGUAUGGAGAGAAGAGGAGUUGAAGAGGAGAAGAGAUGGAGAAGCUUAGGGGGUUUGGGUGUGAAUGGUACGGACGUCCGUACAAGGCCGUACAUGGCCGUACCGUCCGUACCAAAGGUCUCGACCAAAACUUACCCAACUCGACCAAGUGAAACGGUAACAAGGGAGUGUUACCUUGGGGACUUAAGAAGAAGGGAUCAGACCGUUGAGUGGAUAAGGGAAGAGCGUGCCAGGCUGGAACAGGCUGUAAAGAGGCAAAGCGUGUGAGCCUUACCAUCCAAUCAUCCGGAAAGCAACCUUGACUCUACAUGCUUCAAUAGUGCCCAUUUCGCCUCUUGUAAACCCUAAUGCUUUCCAUAUAAAUAUGUAACCUCACUCAUUAAUAAAAUCAAUCAGUUCGAGUCUCUCUAAUCUCUUAGACUAUGGUUUUCUCUUAGACACUAAACGGCUCUUUCUAGUCUCUUAAUCUUUCACAAACUUCUCUUAAUCACUUCCUAAACACUCUCUUUAUUCUAAUCACUCUAAAGAUCUCUUAAUCUCAUA
rnacentral:lncRNA from 1 species